ACAACCAUUACGCCAGCAUCCUAGCCGAAGCGCGGACCUCAGUCCCGGCUGGCCGUAUUACACCCUGGGCUAUAACACCUCCACCGAAGUGGAGGCCACAUUCCCAGAGCCUUUAUCCGGCCGCCGAAACUGAUGCUGGCCUGUCCAAACUGAGUAAACCGGUCAGAAGACCGGCCGAACAGUUUAAACAAGUCUGAUUGCAAGCGCUUCCCUUUCAACAAUUUCACGUGCUUUUUAACUCUCUUUCCAAAGUGCUUUUCAUCUUUCGAUCACUCUACUUGUGCGCUAUCGGUCUCUCGCCAAUAUUUAGCUUUAGAAGAAAUUUACCUCCCAUUUAGAGCUGCAUUCCCAAACAACUCGACUCGUCGAAGGAGAUUUACAUAGGGUGCCAUUUCCUGUCACAUACGGGAUUCUCACCCUCUAUGACGUCCUGUUCCAAGGAACUUAGACAGGCGGCUUCCCCAAAUCAUCCUCUACAAAUUACAAUGCGAACCCGAAGGCUAGCUUUCAAAUUUGAGCUGUUGCCGCUUCACUCGCCGUUACUAGGGCAAU
rnacentral:rRNA from 1 species